rnacentral:miRNA from 1 species
GUCCCAUGGGAGUGGGGGGUGGGGUGGGCAGCAGAAGCACAUUCCCUACACUAUCCUAGGAGCCCU